CAGAUGAUAACCUGACAAUAUCACAAGUACACGAUUAUAAACAGAUGAGUACUCGAAGGAAAAGUACAGAAAACAUGAAAAUGUGCAGCACAGUCAUGAUUGAGUUGAGGCUGGGGGUCAGAAAAGAUGUCUUUGAGGAAGAACAAUUUAAACUGAAGUUUGAAGGAAGAGGAGAACAAACAAAACAAGAUGUGUGUGUGUAUGUAUGUAUGUGUGUGUGUGUGUGUGUGUGUGUGUGUGUGUGUCGUCCCCAUGCACACGCCACCCCAGGGAGAAGUCAGAAGUAUCUGCACGUGCAAUGGCCCCGGGGUGGAAGACAGGAUGGAACGUUUAAGAAAUGAAAGGUCACUGUUGUUGAAGUCAAGGGAGCAAAGGGGAGAGGAAUGUGAAAUGUGGCUGAAAACACAGAAAAGGGUGACAGCAGCAGCCACUUGUAGGCCACAUGCAGGAUUUUGGUGUUUUCCCAGGAAAAACAGGAAGUCAGAAGUCACUGAGGAGUUUUAAGAAGAAGAGUGAAAUGGUGCGGCGGAUGUGAACAAGACCAAGUCCAAGCCCUUGUGGAAUCAACAAAUCAACCAGACCUACCCUAAUACUCCAAGAGAAUAACAAAUAGAACACAUGAACAAAAAUAGAAAUGCAAAUGGCAAAUAAAGAUAUAAAUGAA